rnacentral:rRNA from 1 species
CUCCAGUGGGCCGGCCAAGGCCUUAACACAUGCAAGUCGAGCGGUAGCACAGGGAAGCUUGCUCCUGGGUGACGAGCGGCGGACGGGUGAGUAAUGUCUGGGAAACUGCCUGAUGGAGGGGGAUAACUACUGGAAACGGUAGCUAAUACCGCAUAACGUCUACGGACCAAAGUGGGGGACCUUCGGGCCUCAUGCCAUCAGAUGUGCCCAGAUGGGAUUAGCUAGUAGGUGGGGUAAUGGCUCACCUAGGCGACGAUCCCUAGCUGGUCUGAGAGGAUGACCAGCCACACUGGAACUGAGACACGGUCCAGACUCCUACGGGAGGCAGCAGUGGGGAAUAUUGCACAAUGGGCGCAAGCCUGAUGCAGCCAUGCCGCGUGUGUGAAGAAGGCCUUCGGGUUGUAAAGCACUUUCAGCGAGGAGGAAGGGUUCAGUGUUAAUAGCACUGUGCAUUGACGUUACUCGCAGAAGAAGCACCGGCUAACUCCGUGCCAGCAGCCGCGGUAAUACGGAGGGUGCAAGCGUUAAUCGGAAUUACUGGGCGUAAAGCGCACGCAGGCGGUUUGUUAAGUCAGAUGUGAAAUCCCCGCGCUUAACGUGGGAACUGCAUUUGAAACUGGCAAGCUAGAGUCUUGUAGAGGGGGGGUAUAAAUUCUCCGUGUAUCGGUGAAAUGCGUAUAGAUCU